rnacentral:lncRNA from 1 species
CUGUUAGUGGUGAAGACGGCUGCAAACAACAAAACACCUGACUGCUAGGGAAGAUAUUAACAGGGACUUUUUUCCUUCUGCAUAACAAGAAGUCUUGAGUAGGUAGUCGAGGUUGGGUAGAGGACACUUCUGUUUCAAUUCCACAUCCCUAGGGCUUUGGAAUAUGAAUGAUUCAUAUUGCCUUGUGAUGGCUAAAUGGCUACUGUCCCCCGUCUCGGCAGGCCUCACACUGGAAACCAUCAUCCUCAGCAAACUAACACAGGAACAGAAAACCAAACACCGCAUUUGGAACUGACUGCCAAUUCAGAACAAAACAAAUUGUGAAAACUCCCCUCCUGUGUCACUCACCCCUGGUCCUCGGGGCCCAGAGUUGGAACAAAUUAGGAUGGCUUUUGACAUUAGGCACAGGACAUAAAGCCACAAAAAGUUUGUCUAUCCACAUUUUAAUUUAAAAAAGGAUUUCACAUUUUACCCAAACAGAAAUGAUCGAUACCCAUGUACCCGCCAGCUUAAUCUGACUGAUGUUAAUAUUUCCCCUGUCUUAUCCUGUGUGCUCUAGAUGAUGAAUAGCAUCUCUGGUCUCUACACCUGGACUUCAGACAUUGCCAAAUGUCCACUGGGGCCAAAAAUCACCCUUUGUUAUAAACUAUAAUUCUGUAUAAAUUGUAGAGUCAGUGUAUCAUCCUUCCAUCCCUCAUCAUUCCACUGUGGUCAUAUCAUUAGUCAAUGUGAGAUAUGCACAUUAUUAUGACUCUAGGUCAAUACCACUUGCAGCCAAGCCACACCAUGUGCUGUGUAGACUUACAUUUCUAUUCAUGUACAACUUCUCCUCCAAAGUUGGUAAUAGCCUCUUUUUAAAAAACUUUUGCUUGUUAUUAAAAGAAAAUCACUCAUUCAUUUUCAAGCUUUCUGCUGGGAUCCUGUUUCUUCUCAAGAUGAUGCAGGGCAGGGAAGGUUCAAAAUUGAGACUUAGCAUGAGAGGGUUCUUUGCUUCACCCAGGGAAGAAUUCAAGGUCAGUGGUGAGAGAAAGCAACUUUUAACAAGCAGUGCCUGGCUCAUAGGCAGUGUGCCCAGCAUCAGCAGUGUACGCUGACAACUGUAUUUAUACCCACUUUGAAUCACACGCUAAUUAAGAGGUGGGUUAUUGAGAAGUUUCUGGAAAAGAGGCGGAAAGUUUCAGGAACCAUUUAAGUUAACUUCCAGGCUGUUGCCAUGGCUUGUUGCCAUGGCGUUUACAAGCUGCCAUGGCACUAGUGGAAGUGUCUUCAUGGUAACGAGCAGUUAGGCCAACUGGAGGUUGCUUUCGUUGCUGUCUGCUGGUUUUGGGUGGCUUCUUCCCUGCAUCCUGUUCUGACUAGAUCCUGCUUCCAUCAGCGGGGUUGUGACUCAAAAAUAAGUUUCUUUCUUUCUUUCUUUCUUUUUUUUUUUAAAGAAACAGGGUUUUUCUUUGUUGCCCAGGCUUGUCUUUCACUCCUGGGCUCAGGUGAUCCUCGUGCUGUUACCAAAACACCAGUUUAUUCUAGGUGCUGGUGCUUGCUGCACAGAAAGCCAAUUACUGAGACAACAAGUAUUGCCAAGGAAGAAGGC